rfam:Schistosoma rodhaini strain Burundi genome assembly, scaffold: SROB_contig0000040
GCACUACCGAGGCGUCCAACAAUAGGACGAAACGGCCUUCCAGUGC